GACGAACGCUGGCGGCGUGCUUAACACAUGCAAGUCGAACGGACAGGCCCUGCUUUUGUGGGGUGCUCGAGUGGCGAACGGGUGAGUAACACGUGAGUAACCUGCCCUUGACUUUGGGAUAACUUCAGGAAACUGGGGCUAAUACCGGAUAGGAGCUCCUGCUGCAUGGUGGGGGUUGGAAAGUUUCGGCGGUUGGGGAUGGACUCGCGGCUUAUCCGCUUGUUGGUGGAGUAGUGGCUUACGAAGGCUUUGACGGGUAGCCGGCCUGAGAGGGUGACCGGGCACAUGGGUACUAAGGUACGGCCCAGACUGCUACGGGAGGCAGCGGUGGGGAAUAUUGCGCAAUGGGCGGAAGCCUGAUGCAGAAGCGCCGCGUGCGGGAUGACGGCCUUCGGGUUGUAAACCGCUUUCGCCUGUGACGAGGCGUGAGUGACGGUAAUGGGUAAAGAAGCACCGGCUAACUACGUG
rnacentral:rRNA from 1 species